rnacentral:rRNA from 1 species
CACGUAGGCGGAUGUGCCAGUCAGGGGUGAAAUCCCGGAGCUCAACUCCGGAACUGCCUCUGAUACAGCACGUCUUGAGUUCGAGAGAGGUGGGUGGAAUUCCUAGUGUAGAGGUGAAAUUCGUAGAUAUUAGGAAGAACACCGGUGGCGAAGGCGGCCCACUGGCUCGAUACUGACGCUGAGGUGCGAAAGCGUGGGGAGCAAACA